GGGCCUGUAGCUCAGAGAUUAGAGCACGUGGCACGAACCACAGGUGUCGGGGUUCGAAUCCCUCCUCGCCCA
rnacentral:tRNA from 1 species